CAGCAGCAGCCGCGGUAAUACGUAGGUCCCGAGCGUUGUCCGGAUUUAUUGGGCGUAAAGCGUGCGCAGGCGGUUAGAUAAGUCUGAAGUUAAAGGCUGUGGCUUAACCAUAGUACGCUUUGGAAACUGUUUAACUUGAGUGCAGAAGAGGAGAGUGGAAUUCCACGCGUAGCGGUGAAAUGCGUAGAGAUGUGGAGGAACACCAGUGGCGAAGGCGACUCUCUGGUCUGUAACUGACGCUGAGGAGCGAAAGCGUGGGGAGCGAACAGGAUUAGAUACCCCGGUAGUCCCUGUCUCUUAUACA
rnacentral:rRNA from 1 species